UAGGGAAUCUUCCGCAAUGGACGCAAGUCUGACGGAGCAACGCCGCGUGAGUGAAGAAGGAUUUCGGUUCGUAAAACUCUGUUGUUAGAGAAGAACAGCGCAUAGAGUAACUGUUAUGCGUGUGACGGUAUCUAACCAGAAAGCCACGGCUAACUACGUGCCAGCAGCCGCGGUAAUACGUAGGUGGCAAGCGUUGUCCGGAUUUAUUGGGCGUAAAGCGAGCGCAGGCGGUCAAUUAAGUCUGAUGUGAAAGCCCCCGGCUCAACCGGGGAGGGUCAUUGGAAACUGGUUGACUUGAGUGCAGAAGAGGAGAGUGGAAUUCCAUGUGUAGCGGUGAAAUGCGUAGAUAUAGGGAGGAACACCAGUGGCGAAGGCGACUCUCUGGUCUGUAACUGACGCUGAGGCUCGAAAGCGUGGGUAGCAAACAGG
rnacentral:rRNA from 1 species